rnacentral:lncRNA from 1 species
GUCCCCCUGCACCACAACCCUCCCAUUGCUGGGGUCUCAGGCUUUAGGGGAAGGGGGUGUCAUUCCCAGGGACCAGCUUCCCCCUCAGCCUCCCCCAGGAAGUCUGCCCUAAUGCCUGGCUGUGUGCUUGCUGCAGGGGUGGUGGGAGUGGGGAGCGGCAUGGAUGGGAGGCACUGUCUGGGGGUCCCUUUGCUCUCUGCCCUUUCCCUGAUGGGGGAGUGCCAGGGGGGGGUCACCUGGGGGUGAGUCCCGAGAUGUGCAGCCCUCUGGGGUGUGAUUGAGCUGACAGGCACCACACUCCGGCACUCCGUUGUGAGUGCUUGUAUGCAGUCAUUCAUCCCCGUGUCCAGGUCUUCAUAUCCAAUCACCGAUCGUAACUGCUGUUACUUGUUGAGCACCUGCUGUGUGCCAUCACUGGACUGGACAACUUUCAGGUAUCACCUCAUUCAGCCCUCGGGACCAUGGUGCAGAUAGGGGACCCUUGUUUUUUAUUUUUCAUUUGUUUUAUUAUUUUAUUUUUUGAGACAGGGUCUUACCCUGUUGCCCAGGCUGGAGUGCAGUUGCCCAGGCUGGAGUGCAGUGGUGCAAUCGUGGCUCAUUGCAGCCUCAACCUCCUAGGCUCAAGCGAUCCUCCCAUCUCAGCCUCCAGAGUAGCUGGGGCUACAGGUGCGUCUCACUAUGCCCAGCUAAGUUUUUAAAAAACUCUUUUGUGGAGACAGGGUCUUACUAUGUUGCCCAGGCUAGUCUCAAACUCCUGGGCUCAAGUGAUCCUCCUGCCUUGGCCUCCCAAGGUGCUCAGAUGACAGGCCUGAGUCAUUGUGCCUGCCCAGGACCCCCCCUGCCCUUUUUUUUUUCCUAAAGGGAGGAACCUGGGGCUCAGAGAAGUGAGAUGACUUGUCCAAGGUCACACAGUUUGGAGAGGCCAGGAAAGGGUUCAGAUCCAGGUAGUCUCAUGCAGCCCUGUCUCAGGCUAAGGGGGCUAUUUGGGCAGGGAAAGGGGAUCCUGCGAUCACGUGGUGGUCAGUUCAGGUCCUGGAUGCUAGGUUGAGGCCUUUGUCUUUCUUGUUUGUUAUUCGGGCAUCAGCACAUCCCCCUUCUUGGGUCACUGGGAGGAGCAGUGACAAUAACUGUAAUGACAGCAGUGAUGAAUUAUUUAGUGCUUGCUAUGUCCCAGGCAGGUGACCCAUGCCUGACAUGUUUUCUUAUUUCAUGUUUACAGUGACCCCGUGAGCCAUGGGGUUGAUACCUUCACUAUCCCCAUUUUACAUUUUAAGAAGCUGAGGUGGCCGGGCAUGGUGGCUCAUGCCUGUAAUCCCAGCACUUUGGGAGGCCGAGGUGGGUGGAUCACCUGACGUCAGAGGUUCAAAACCAGCCUGGCCAACAUGGCAAAACCCCCUCUCUACUAAAAAUACAAAAAUUAGCCGGGUGUGGUGGAAUGCACCUAUAAUCCCAGCUACUCAGGAGGCUGAGGCACAAGAAUCACUUGAACCCAGGAGGCGGAGGUUGCA